rnacentral:rRNA from 1 species
UACGUAGGGUGCGAGCGUUAAUCGGAAUUACUGGGCGUAAAGCGUGCGCAGGCGGUUUGGUAAGACAGGCGUGAAAUCCCCGGGCGUCAACCUGGGAACGUGCGCUUGUGACUGCCUCACUAGAGUACGGCAGAGGGGGUGGAAUUCCGCGUGUAGCAGUGAAAUGCGUAGAGAUGCGGAGGAACACCGAUGGCGAAGGCAGCCCCUCGGGAGU